CCUACGGGAGGCAGCAGUGGGGAAUCUUGCGCAAUGGGCGAAAGCCUGACGCAGCGACGCCGCGUGGGGGAUGAAGCUUUUCGGAGUGUAAACCCCUUUCGACUGGGACGAAUGCCCGCAAGGGAGUGACGGUACCAGUAGAAGAAGCCCCGGCUAACUACGUGCCAGCAGCCGCGGUAAGACGUAGGGGGCCAGCGUUGUUCGGAAUUACUGGGUGUAAAGGGUUCGUAGGCGGUGUGGCAAGUCGGGAGUGAAAUCUCUGGGCUCAACUCAGAGGCUGCUUCCGAAACUGCUGUGCUUGAGUGUGGGAGAGGCGCGUGGAAUUGCAGGUGUAGCGGUGAAAUGCGUAGAUAUCUGCAGGAACACCCGUGGCGAAAGCGGCGCGCUGGACCACAACUGACGCUGAGGAACGAAAGCUAGGGGAGCAAACAGGAUUAGAUACCCUGGUAGUCCUAGCCCUAAACGAUCAGGACUUGGGGUGGCGCCCGUUCGGGCGUCGUCCCGGAGCUAACGCGUUAAGUCCUGCACCUGGGGAGUACGGUCGCAAGACUGAAACUCAAAGGAAUUGACGG
rnacentral:rRNA from 1 species